UGGGGGAUAUUGCACAAUGGGCGAAAGCCUGAUGCAGCGACGCCGCGUGGGGGAUGAAGGCCUUCGGGUUGUAAACUUCUUUUGCUCUGAACAAGGCAUGCCUUUGGGGUGUGUUGAGGGUAGGGGUUGAUUAGCGCUGGCUAACUACGUGCCAGCAGCCGCCGUAAUACGUAGGGCGCGAGCGUUGUCCGGAAUUAUUGGGCGUAAAGGGCUUGUAGGUGGCUGGUUGCGUCUGUCGUGAAAGCUCAUGGCUUAACUGUGGGUUUGCGGUGGGUACGGGCUGGCUUGAGUGCAGUAGGGGAGGCUGGAAUUCCUGGUGUAGCGGUGGAAUGCGCAGAUAUCAGGAGGAAUACCGGUGGCGAAGGCGGGUCUCUGGGCUGUUACUGACGCUGAGGAGCGAAAGCGUGGGGAGCGAACAGG
rnacentral:rRNA from 1 species